GGGUGAUCUAGCUGUGACAUCUGUCACUCCUUUGAUCGCCAGGGUUGAUUUAGCUGAUCUGGCUGGCUAGGCGGGUGUCCCCUUCCUCCCAUUUGUGUCCCUCCUGGAGCUAUAUAGUCGGUCAAAGAGGAUGGCAUUCCCCCAAUAGAGGAGGACCUGGACUUUGGCCAAGGGUAUUGGAGUAGCUGCGCUUCUCUGCUAGAACCUCCAAACAGCUUUCAAAAACAAACAGCUGAGCCAGGCAUGGUGGCACACGCCUGUACUCCCAGCACUUAGGAGGCAGAGGUAGGAG
rnacentral:snRNA from 1 species